GGUUCAAAGAAUAUUUAUGAAUAUAAGAGGGACAUCCAAUGAAAAACUACCAAUUCUUCAUAAACGUAGCGCUAUAGCCUAUUUUAAUACUUAAUACUGAUGUAUAAUCGCAGACAGGUGUCUUUGUUCCGCUUUACUAGUCCAUUUCUCAAGAUCUUCCCCUGUUUCUCUCCGGACAUCUUUAUAGACCAUGUUAUACAACUAUUCAUAAUGAAGCAUUGCUAAUAUUACCAGAAAUAAUUAUAGACUUGUACCUAUUUCAAAUCAAAUCUUCGUUCCGCUCAUGUUUGACCCUAUAUAAGACGACUCGCAAUACACGAAUUGUCUGCAAUCCCAAAAAAAUGUUGCAGACGACGGACAAAAGUUUCGUCGUUGAUCAUUUUCCACCAAUAGAUAAAUUCAAGAGGAUUUUUUCCUUUACAAAAAAUGUUAUAUAUAUAAACAAUAAAUAUAUUUAGGUUUAUAAUUGUUGUAGAAAUUGUGCUAUAAGAUAUGAUAAAAAAAAAAAAUGAAUAAGAUAUUUAAGAAUAUAGAGGCUAUGGAGGAAACAACUAAUCAAAGCUGUUCCUGACGUGCAAUAAUAAUUAAUAUAUGGCUAUAUAUAUAUAGAUAAUUUUUAAGCUCUCUCUUAUAGAGUAAUGGAUAGCCUACUGCGUCGAAUAUCAAGAGUACAAUUAUUAAACAUGCGUUUUUGAAAAGUAAA